rnacentral:rRNA from 1 species
ACUGCUCAGUAACACGUAGCUAACCUACCCUUAAGUCGAGGAUACUCUCGGGAAACUGAGGUUAAUACUCGAUAGGAGAUGUACCCUGGAAUGAUUCAUCUCUCAAAUUCGUGCUUAAGGAUGGGGCUGCGGCGGAUUAGGUUGUUGGCGGGAUAAAAGCCCACCAAGCCGAUGAUCCGUAAGGGCUCUUAGCGGAGAGGCCCUGAGAGGGAAUCUGAGACACUAUUCCCAGCCCUACGGGGUGCAGCAGUUAGGAAUCUUCUGCAAUGCGCGCAAGCGUGACAGAUUGAGUCAGAGUGCUUUUCAUAUGAAAAGCUUUUGCCAAAUGCAAAAAGUUUGGCGAAUAAGGACUGGGUAAGACGGGUGCCAGCCGCCGCGGUAAUACCCGCGGUCCAAGUCGCAGCCAUCAUUAUUGGGUCUAAAACAUCCGUAGCUUGCUUAGUAAGUUUCUUGUGAAAUUCCAUGUCUUAAAUAUGGAGCGGGCAAGAAGUACUGUUAAGCUAGAGACUGGAAGACGUAAGAAGUACGUUUGGAGUAGCGGUAAAAUGUGUUAAUCCCAGACGGACUAACAACAGCGAAGGCAUCUUACGAGGACAGUUCUGACAGUAAGGGAUGAAGGCUAGGGGCGCGAAAGGGAUUAGAUACCCCUGUAGUCCUAGCAGUAAACACUGCACACUAAACAUUAGUACCUCCUCGAGAGGUAUUAGUGCUGAAGAGAAGUCGAAGAGUGUGCUACCUGGGAAGUAUAGUCGCAAGGCUGAAACUUAAAGGAAUUGGCGGGGGAGCA